rnacentral:tmRNA from 1 species
GGGAACGUAAUGGUUUCGACGGGGGUUUUGAAAACAGGAAUAGCCAUCCGAGGCGGCGGCAACUCGUUAAAACGCCAAAAAUUUAAGAAUAACUGACAACAAUAAUUACGCUUUUGCGGCUUAGUUAAAGCCGCCGUCGGUCCUGAUUCUCCCGUUGGUUGGGGUACCGGCGUCGUUAGACGGGAAACUCCUGCGGUUAAGCUUUGCCCCGCCGGAAAAUUCAUGAAGCUACCUUUGCCUUGUGCGUGCGGGUUUGCGCUUGGUAAAGGGAAAUAAUAAUAACCCGCUGUGAUGGGAGAAGUUUCUGAGGAUAGGCUUUCGGACGGGGGUUCGACUCCCCCCGUUUCCA